rnacentral:rRNA from 1 species
UGCAAGUCGAGCGAACAGAAGGGAGCUUGCUCCCGGAUGUUAGCGGCGGACGGGUGAGUAACACGUGGGUAACCUGCCUGUAAGACUGGGAUAACUCCGGGAAACCGGAGCUAAUACCGGAUAGUUCCUUGAACCGCAUGGUUCAAGGAUGAAAGACGGUUUCGGCUGUCACUUACAGAUGGACCCGCGGCGCAUUAGCUAGUUGGUGGGGUAAUGGCUCACCAAGGCGACGAUGCGUAGCCGACCUGAGAGGGUGAUCGGCCACACUGGGACUGAGACACGGCCCAGACUCCUACGGGAGGCAGCAGUAGGGAAUCUUCCGCAAUGGACGAAAGUCUGACGGAGCAACGCCGCGUGAGUGAUGAAGGUUUUCGGAUCGUAAAGCUCUGUUGUUAGGGAAGAACAAGUGCGAGAGUAACUGCUCGCACCUUGACGGUACCUAACCAGAAAGCCACGGCUAACUACGUGCCAGCAGCCGCGGUAAUACGUAGGUGGCAAGCGUUGUCCGGAAUUAUUGGGCGUAAAGGGCUCGCAGGCGGUUUCUUAAGUCUGAUGUGAAAGCCCCCGGCUCAACCGGGGAGGGUCAUUGGAAACUGGGAAACUUGAGUGCAGAAGAGGAGAGUGGAAUUCCACGUGUAGCGGUGAAAUGCGUAGAGAUGUGGAGGAACACCAGUGGCGAAGGCGACUCUCUGGUCUGUAACUGACGCUGAGGAGCGAAAGCGUGGGGAGCGAACAGGAUUAGAUACCCUGGUAGUCCACGCCGUAAACGAUGAGUGCUAAGUGUUAGGGGGUUUCCGCCCCUUAGUGCUGCAGCUAACGCAUUAAGCACUCCGCCUGGGGAGUACGGUCGCAAGACUGAAACUCAAAGGAAUUGACGGGGGCCCGCACAAGCGGUGGAGCAUGUGGUUUAAUUCGAAGCAACGCGAAGAACCUUACCAGGUCUUGACAUCCUCUGACAACCCUAGAGAUAGGGCUUUCCCUUCGGGGACAGAGUGACAGGUGGUGCAUGGUUGUCGUCAGCUCGUGUCGUGAGAUGUUGGGUUAAGUCCCGCAACGAGCGCAACCCUUGAUCUUAGUUGCCAGCAUUUAGUUGGGCACUCUAAGGUGACUGCCGGUGACAAACCGGAGGAAGGUGGGGAUGACGUCAAAUCAUCAUGCCCCUUAUGACCUGGGCUACACAC